rnacentral:pre_miRNA from 1 species
AGUGGAAUAACUGGGUCAAAUGGUGGUUCCAUUCCAAAUUUUCUGAGGAAUCUCCAUAUUGCUUUCCAGAAUGGUUUCACCAAUUUGUAGUCCCACCAGCAAU